rnacentral:hammerhead_ribozyme from 1 species
AUCCAGCUGACGAGUCCCAAAUAGGAUGGAACCCGUGUCCUGGAU